GCAUAUCAAUAAGCGGAGGAAAAAGAAACCAACAGGGAUUGCCCUAGUAACGGCGAGUGAAGCGGCAACAGCUCAAAUUUGAAAUCUGGCCCUCGGGUCCGAGUUGUAAUUUGUAGAGGAUGCUUUUGGUGAGGUGCCUUCCGAGUUCCCUGGAACGGGACGCCAUAGAGGGUGAGAGCCCCGUCUGGUUGGAUACCGAGCCUCUGUAAAGCUCCUUCGACGAGUCGAGUAGUUUGGGAAUGCUGCUCUAAAUGGGAGGUAUAUGUCUUCUAAAGCUAAAUAUUGGCCAGAGACCGAUAGCGCACAAGUAGAGUGAUCGAAAGAUGAAAAGCACUUUGAAAAGAGAGUUAAAAAGUACGUGAAAUUGUUGAAAGGGAAGCGCUUAUGACCAGACUUGGGCUUGGUUGAUCAUCCUGGGUUCUCCCUGGUGCACUCUUCCAGUUCAGGCCAGCAUCAGUUCGCUGCGGGGGAUAAAAGCUUUGGGAAUGUGGCUCCCUCGGGAGUGUUAUAGCCCAUUGCAUAAUACCCUGCUCCGGACUGAGGUUCGCGCAUCUGCAAGGAUGCUGGCGUAAUGGUCAUCAGCGACCCGUCUUGAAACACGGACCAAGGAGUCGUCUUCGUAUGCGAGUGUUCGGGUGUUAAACCCCUACGCGUAAUGAAAGUGAACGCAGGUGAGAGCUUCGGCGCAUCAUCGACCGAUCCUGAUGUUCUCGGAUGGAUUUGAGUAAGAGCAUACGGGGCCGGACCCGAAAGAAGGUGAACUAUGCCUGUAUAGGGUGAAGCCAGAGGAAACUCUGGUGGAGGCUCGCAGCGGUUCUGACGUGCAAAUCGAUCCGUCAAAUAUGGGCAUGGGGGCGAAAGACUAAUCGAACCUUCUAGUAGCUGGUUUCCGCCGAAG
rnacentral:rRNA from 1 species